rnacentral:misc_RNA from 1 species
GCAGCGGCGGCGACAGCGGUG